AAAGUUACGGAAAAAAAUCCUUUAUUUUUGCCAAUUGAUAUUCUAUAUAGGCUCCACAUAUACAUCAACAACACCACACUUUUUGACUAAAUUAGCCACAAUUAUUACCAAUAUCAUGAUUUGCAGCCACAGCAGAUAAAGAUUAAGGAUUUGCCAAUAUUGAAAAAUACAAAUAAUUCAAAACUUUAAUGCAAAAUGCCUAUUUUGACCCUUAAACUUUGUGCCAAUAGUCACAUAAUCCCUUUAACUUUUUUGGAGUCCGAAAAGCCUUUCAAA
rnacentral:misc_RNA from 1 species